rnacentral:rRNA from 1 species
AGUGAACGCUGGCGGUAGGCCUAACACAUGCAAGUCGAACGGCAGCACAGUAAGAGCUUGCUCUUACGGGUGGCGAGUGGCGGACGGGUGAGGAAUACAUCGGAAUCUACUUUUUCGUGGGGGAUAACGUAGGGAAACUUACGCUAAUACCGCAUACGACCUACGGGUGAAAGCAGGGGAUCUUCGGACCUUGCGCGAUUGAAUGAGCCGAUGUCGGAUUAGCUAGUUGGCGGGGUAAAGGCCCACCAAGGCGACGAUCCGUAGCUGGUCUGAGAGGAUGAUCAGCCACACUGGAACUGAGACACGGUCCAGACUCCUACGGGAGGCAGCAGUGGGGAAUAUUGGAUAAUGGGCGCAAGCCUGAUCCAGCCAUACCGCGUGGGUGAAGAAGGCCUUCGGGUUGUAAAGCCCUUUUGUUGGGAAAGAAAAGCAGCAGGUUAAUACCCCGCUGUUCUGACGGUACCAAAAGAAUAAGCACCGGCUAACUUCGUG